GGGGAAUUUUGGACAAUGGGGGCAACCCUGAUCCAGCCAUCCCGCGUGUGCGAUGAAGGCCUUCGGGUUGUAAAGCACUUUUGGCAGGGAAGAAAAGGCUCUGGUUAAUACCUGGAGCUGCUGACGGUACCUGCAGAAUAAGCACCGGCUAACUACGUGCCAGCAGCCGCGGUAAUACGUAGGGUGCAAGCGUUAAUCGGAAUUACUGGGCGUAAAGCGUGCGCAGGCGGUUCGGCAAGAAGGAUGUGAAAUCCCAGGGCUUAACCUUGGAACUGCAUUCUUAACUGCCGGGCUAGAGUAUGUCAGAGGGGGGUAGAAUUCCGCGUGUAGCAGUGAAAUGCGUAGAGAUGCGGAGGAAUACCGAUGGCGAAGGCAGCCCCCUGGGAUAAUACUGACGCUCAUGCACGAAAGCGUGGGGAGCAAAC
rnacentral:rRNA from 1 species